rfam:Staphylococcus sp. HMSC078E07 Staphylococcus_spHMPREF2905-1.0_Cont162.1, whole genome shotgun sequence.
AAUUAUUUAAAAAAAGUGUUGACAUUACAGUGACUUAAAUGAUAUAUUAAUUAAGUACUCAUUUGAAGUGCUAAUAAUAUUGGCGCGGGAUGGAGCAGUUCGG